AUUGAACGCUGGCGGCAGGCCUAACACAUGCAAGUCGAGCGAGCGGCGGACGGGUGAGUAAUGUAUGGGGACUGCCCGAUAGAGGGGGAUAACUACUGGAAACGGUGGCUAAUACCGCAUACUAUCGGAACACCCAUGGGGGAUUAGCUAGUAGGUGGGGUAAAGGCGCACCUAGGCGACGAUCUCUAGCUGGUGUGAGAGGAUGCUCAGCCACACUGGGACUGAGACACGGCCCAGACUCCUACGGAGGCAGCAGUGGGGAAUAUUGCACAAUGGGCGCAAGCCUGAGGCAGCCAUGCCGCGUGUAUGAAGAAGGCCUUAGGGUUGUAAAGUACUUUCAGCGGGGAGGCGUUACCCGCAGAAGAAGCACCGGCUAACUCCGUGCCAGCAGCCGCGGUAAUAC
rnacentral:rRNA from 1 species